rnacentral:rRNA from 1 species
GGUUAAGCGACUAAGCGUACACGGUGGAUGCCCUGGCAGUCAGAGGCGAUGAAGGACGUGCUAAUCUGCGAAAAGCGUCGGUAAGGUGAUAUGAACCGUUAUAGCCGGCGAUGUCCGAAUGGGGAAACCCAGUGUGAUUCGUCACACUAUCGUUAACUGAAUACAUAGGUUAACGAGGCGAACCGGGGGAACUGAAACAUCUAAGUACCCCGAGGAAAAGAAAUCAACCGAGAUUCCCCCAGUAGCGGCGAGCGAACGGGGAGCAGCCCAGAGUCUGAAUCAGCUUGUGUGUUAGUGGAACGGUCUGGAAAGUCCGACGGUACAGGGUGAUAGUCCCGUACACCAAAAUGCACAGGUUGUGAACUCGAAGAGUAGGGCGGGACACGUGGUAUCCUGUCUGAAUAUGGGGGGACCAUCCUCCAAGGCUAAAUACUCCUGACUGACCGAUAGUGAACCAGUACCGUGAGGGAAAGGCGAAAAGAACCCCGGCGAGGGGAGUGAAAAAGAACCUGAAACCGUGUACGUACAAGCAGUGGGAGCACCUUCGGGUGUGACUGCGUACCUUUUGUAUAAUGGGUCAGCGACUUAUAUUCUGUAGCAAGGUUAACCGUAUAGGGGAGCCGCAGGGAAACCGAGUCUUAACUGGGCGUUAAGUUGCAGGGUAUAGACCCGAAACCCGGUGAUCUAGCCAUGGGCAGGUUGAAGGUUGGGUAACACUAACUGGAGGACCGAACCGACUAAUGUUGAAAAAUUAGCGGAUGACUUGUGGCUGGGGGUGAAAGGCCAAUCAAACCGGGAGAUAGCUGGUUCUCCCCGAAAGCUAUUUAGGUAGCGCCUCGUGAAUUCAUCUUCGGGGGUAGAGCACUGUUUCGGCUAGGGGGUCAUCCCGACUUACCAACCCGAUGCAAACUACGAAUACCGAAGAAUGUUAUCACGGGAGACACACGGCGGGUGCUAACGUCCGUCGUGAAGAGGGAAACAACCCAGACCGCCAGCUAAGGUCCCAAAGUCAUGGUUAAGUGGGAAACGAUGUGGGAAGGCACAGACAGCCAGGAUGUUGGCUUAGAAGCAGCCAUCAUUUAAAGAAAGCGUAAUAGCUCACUGGUCGAGUCGGCCUGCGCGGAAGAUGUAACGGGGCUAAACCAUGCACCGAAGCUGCGGCAGCGACACUAUGUGUUGUUGGGUAGGGGAGCGUUCUGUAAGCCUGCGAAGGUGACCUGUGAGGGUUGCUGGAGGUAUCAGAAGUGCGAAUGCUGACAUAAGUAACGAUAAAGCGGGUGAAAAGCCCGCUCGCCGGAAGACCAAGGGUUCCUGUCCAACGUUAAUCGGGGCAGGGUGAGUCGACCCCUAAGGCGAGGCCGAAAGGCGUAGUCGAUGGGAAACAGGUUAAUAUUCCUGUACUUGGUGUUACUGCGAAGGGGGGACGGAGAAGGCUAUGUUAGCCGGGCGACGGUUGUCCCGGUUUAAGCAUGUAGGCUGAUUGUCCAGGCAAAUCCGGAUAAUCAAGGCUGAGGUGUGAUGACGAGGCACUACGGUGCUGAAGUAACAAAUGCCCUGCUUCCAGGAAAAGCCUCUAAGCAUCAGGUAACAUUAAAUCGUACCCCAAACCGACACAGGUGGUCAGGUAGAGAAUACCAAGGCGCUUGAGAGAACUCGGGUGAAGGAACUAGGCAAAAUGGUGCCGUAACUUCGGGAGAAGGCACGCUGGUGUGUAGGUGAAGUCCCUGCGGAUGGAGCUGAGACCAGUCGAAGAUACCAGCUGGCUGCAACUGUUUAUUAAAAACACAGCACUGUGCAAACACGAAAGUGGACGUAUACGGUGUGACGCCUGCCCGGUGCCGGAAGGUUAAUUGAUGGGGUUAUCCGUAAGGAGAAGCUCUUGAUCGAAGCCCCGGUAAACGGCGGCCGUAACUAUAACGGUCCUAAGGUAGCGAAAUUCCUUGUCGGGUAAGUUCCGACCUGCACGAAUGGCGUAAUGAUGGCCAGGCUGUCUCCACCCGAGACUCAGUGAAAUUGAACUCGCUGUGAAGAUGCAGUGUACCCGCGGCAAGACGGAAAGACCCCGUGAACCUUUACUAUAGCUUGACACUGAACAUUGAGCCUUGAUGUGUAGGAUAGGUGGGAGGCUUUGAAGCGUGGACGCCAGUCUGCGUGGAGCCAACCUUGAAAUACCACCCUUUAAUGUUUGAUGUUCUAACGUUGGCCCCUGACCGGGGUUGCGGACAGUGUCUGGUGGGUAGUUUGACUGGGGCGGUCUCCUCCCAAAGCGUAACGGAGGAGCACGAAGGUUAGCUAAUCCUGGUCGGACAUCAGGAGGUUAGUGCAAUGGCAUAAGCUAGCUUGACUGCGAGCGUGACGGCGCGAGCAGGUGCGAAAGCAGGUCAUAGUGAUCCGGUGGUUCUGAAUGGAAGGGCCAUCGCUCAACGGAUAAAAGGUACUCCGGGGAUAACAGGCUGAUACCGCCCAAGAGUUCAUAUCGACGGCGGUGUUUGGCACCUCGAUGUCGGCUCAUCACAUCCUGGGGCUGAAGUAGGUCCCAAGGGUAUGGCUGUUCGCCAUUUAAAGUGGUACGCGAGCUGGGUUUAGAACGUCGUGAGACAGUUCGGUCCCUAUCUGCCGUGGGCGCUGGAGAAUUGAGGGGGGCUGCUCCUAGUACGAGAGGACCGGAGUGGACGCAUCACUGGUGUUCGGGUUGUCAUGCCAAUGGCACUGCCCGGUAGCUAAAUGCGGAAGAGAUAAGUGCUGAAAGCAUCUAAGCACGAAACUUGCCCCGAGAUGAGUUCUCCCUGAGACUUUAAGUCUCCUGAAGGAACGUUGAAGACGACGACGUUGAUAGGCCGGGUGUGUAAGCGCAGCGAUGCGUUGAGCUAACCGGUACUAAUGAACCGUGAGGCUUAACCUU